CGGUGGAGUAUGUGGUUAAUUCGAUGCAACGCGAAGAACCUUACCUGGUCUUGACAUCCCGGAGACCCUUAGGAAACUAGGGGGUGCUUCCAUCUGGAAGAAUCUGGAGACAGGUGCUGCAUGGCUGUCGUCAGCUCGUGUCGUGAGAUGUUGGGUUAAGUCCCGCAACGAGCGCAACCCUUGCCUUUAGUUGCCAGCAGUUCGGCUGGGCACUCUAAAGGGACUGCCGGUGUUAAACCGGAGGAAGGUGGGGAUGACGUCAAGUCCUCAUGGCCUUUAUGACCAGGGCUACACGCGUACUACAAUGGCCGAUACAAAGGGCAGCGACACUGCGAGGUGAAGCCAAUCCCGUAAAAUCGGUCUCAGUCCGGAUUGGAGUCUGCAACUCGACUCCAUGAAGUUGGAAUCGCUAGUAAUCGUGGAUCAGCAUGCCACGGUGAAUACGUUCCCGGGCCUU
rnacentral:rRNA from 1 species